UACGUAGGGAGCAAGCGUUGUCCGGAAUCAUUGGGCGUAAAGCGCGCGUAGGUGGCUUCGUAAGUCCGCUGUGAAAGUCAAAGGCUCAACCUUUGAAAGCCGGUGGAUACUGCGGAGCUAGAGUCCGGAAGAGGCGAGUGGAAUUCCUGGUGGUAGCGGUGAAAUGUCGCAGAUAUCAAGGAGGAACACCGGUGGCGAAGGCGGGUCUCUGGCCGAUACUGACGCUGAGGAGCGAAAGCGUGGGGAGCGAACAGG
rnacentral:rRNA from 1 species